AAGAAAAGAGAGAACGUCUAAGAGAUAAGGUAGAAUAAAAAAAAAUAUUCGAUUAACAGAACGGAUAAUGAUAACACGUUCCAUUUUGAUCGAUAACGAUCGUUCGAUUGCGAAUAUUUCGAAUGUUAAAGUUAAAAAUUAUAUCAUGCACGAGGGGGAGGGGAGAAUGUUUAAUUUCGAUCAUCGAAACAAAGAUUCUUACACCGAUAUGGAAAAUAUAAUACAAAACGUGUAUUUCAUGGCUCACCCAGUAUACACAGCAUCGCAGGUAAUGAAAAUCCUAUUAGCAGCGGAACGUGUUAAGUAUUUAACAAAGUCUUUCUCACUCGAGAAUUCCUCGGCGGCGUCUAGGUCGAUUCGUUUCUCGGUCGAUCGACGGUGCACCACCCCACCCCGUGUUUCCCCAUCGAACGAACGUGUUUUCAACGUGAGCAACAGGUCCUAACCAUCGAAAUUCUCCGGCAUACGACGAAUUCUCGGGCUCGUUCGCGCGAAAAUCAAGCCACGUUAACAGUUUCGUCACCGAUCGCGGCACCAACUGUGCCGCGUUUUCAGGAUUUUCAUUCGAUCGACGACCAACAGGUACACGCGCACGUUUGUAGGUAUACACGGACGUGGUACACGUACAAACGCGCGAGAGUUCGUUUUCAGUCGCGAACAAAGAACGACCGUGUUGUGUUUGGACGAACAGCGAAGGCGUUUCGUGGAAUAUUUUUGCUCUCAGAACAAUGCGUAUGAUUCCGAGCAAUUUCACGCGUGACUUUUAUUUUUUCUUUUCUCUUUUGUUUUUCUUUUUUCUUUUUUUUUGUGCGCGCGCGCGUGUGCGUUCGACUGUUUUCGAUCGGAUUUUCGAGAGGAAUUGUAGUUUUUCGGAAUUUCGUGACGCGUAAAAUAGUCGAUUACGCGUGGUAAAAAAGUUUGUAAGGGAAAUUUGAUUGUAGAGAAAAUUAUAUUAAAUUUAAAAGAGAAAAAAAUUUAACCUUAAAUUUUGGUAUUAAUUUUUCGAAAAAAAAAGUUUUAACACGAUUAGAUACGUAUUUAGUAUGAUACGCGAUAACAGAGGAAAUUUAAUAUUUUAGAAAAAUUGGUGUAUGGUCGAAAAAAAGAUGAAUGAUUUUGUAGAGAGAGGUUAUGAUAUAUAUUUAUCAAGAAAUAAAAAGUACGAGCAAGUAAAUUUGUAUCAAAUGCUAAAGUCUCAUUGAAAAUAAAAUUUUUUAUCAUUUUUAAAUAAUAGUGUGCUCUAACAUACGUCGUACAUUCGACGUGUCUCGCAAAAUUUCAUGCAUCUCGUUCAUUUCAUCUUAUUAUUUAAAAUACGAUGUAUAUAUUUUAAUUUCAUAUCAUUUACUAGUAUCUUUAUAUAUAAUUACCAAAAUUUAAAACUAUGAGAAUAAAAUGUAAUAAAAAGAAAACACUUAAUCAUAAAAUAUGUACUUUUUAACAAUUCUAACCUUAUUCAUCCUUAAAUGUCAAGAAUCAAACAAUUAAAAAAAACACCAAACACAAUUCUUAUGAAAUUUCCACUCUCAUUUCUCUUCAUUCUUCAGUCAACAAAAAUCAAGAAGAAAAAAGAAUAAAUGGAUAAAAAUAAAACACUACUAAAAUGUGAUGAAACGUGACGAAGAAAUGCGACAGUCGAGUGUCAAUUAAAACCUCAUGGCCGAUGAAUACGAGCCGUAUCUCGAUCAUGCACACGCUCGAUUAUCGAUUCUCGCUGUCUCGCGUGGAUAAAGAUUUCUCUCGCGUCCGAAGGCGAGUUUACUCGCAACAAGUUCCAUCGAGAAUUUCUCGUUGAAGAAAUUUUUUGGCGAGACUAUGUCGAGUCAACCGUGAAAUUGCUUACUUCGCUUCGAUAGUCGAACUCGGGUAACAAUCGAUAUGUACGCGUAUCGAGAUUUGGACGAUCAGUGUUACUCGUUGAAACGGUACUGCGUAGUAUAUGGUGACACGUAAAGUGAGAAAAAAAUUCUAUUUGUAGUUAAGUGAACGAAUAGUUUAUCAGUGAGGGAUUAUUAAUCGAGUUGAAAUGCAAAAUAAUUGUAUCUACGAAACGAGAAAACAUCGAGAUUGUGCCAUCUGAGCCGAUGGAUGCAACUGCACCGCGAACAAGAAGGUUUCUACCUUCGUAUCAGAUGCACACCAGAUCUCUACAAUUCCGUUACCGACGGAUGCUCGCGCUUUACUAUAGUCGGUUUAAUUGAAAAUAUCAUCGAUUUUCACCAUAACGCAUAUUGUUAUUUCCCCGUGUAUUAUUAACCCUUUGAGGGCGAUGAACCCGUAUGUACGGGUUAACAAGAGCCGAAGAGAAUACCUGUGUACGCGUGUGUCUGGGAAAAAUAAUUGAUACAGUGCUACAGUGUACGUUUAAAGAAAAUAAAAACUAAAAAUGUAUAUAAAUGUAGAUAUGUAAAAAAAAAAGAAAAAAAAAAAGGUAAAGUAAAAUACUAAUUUGAUCUCUGUGAAAUUUCUAUCGCAUGCCUUAUCCGUUCAUCUAACCUCUGGAUAAAACGUUUAUAUCCAUUAUCAUGGAAAUUUUUCACGUUACAUUUGCCACGACUUCUUCUUCGAGAGAUAUCUAGAUACCUGGUGAAAAAUUUUUCCCCAACCGAGCUUUUAAUUGCAAACCUCGUACAAUUUAUCGAAGAUGUAUUCUUUCCACGCGGCGCGACCUCUCGCCAAUUUAAUCUCGAGCCUCGAUUCAAACACACACGAUCCCGACCACGCGCGGAAUUUUUCUCACUUUUUAACGGAAAAACUUUUCCUUCCCCUCCCCGGUGGCGAGUCGCCCGUACAUAUUUUUCCAAGAAACAAGAAAUAUCGUCCCGAUUUUCCACGACCCGCCCUACUUCCGCCUCGAGAACGCGAUUCCUCGUCAAUUCACCCUUGCAGCUGCAACUCGACAACAAUCCCAAAGGCGUAUUCGAUUUUUCCACGAACCGUGUUCCCCGUUCCUUUUCUCCGAACCCUUAAAUCUUUCUCGUCAAUUCUAAUUUUCCGUCCAAGGGUUUAACACUUUCUCUUUUUCCCACCUUUCCUUUCCUCUAUCGAUCCGUUCUUCGACGAGUACGUUCCAUUUCUAAUUUAUUCUCUAUACGCUAAGAAUGGAAUUACUCUUCGUUUCUCAAAAAUUGUCCAAUCGAUACGUAAGAAUCUAAUUUUAAAAAUUAUUAACAAUUUCCUAAAACGAACGAACGGAUGGAUAAAUUCGCGUACGUGGAGUCACAGAGUGGUUAAACCCAAUUAUCCUCCAAUUUCAACGUUUCGAGCUCGAAACGACGAGAUUUCAGGCGUCCUCCUCCGCUCGCCCUAAUCCGUCCCUCCUUUCGUAUUCCCCUCCCUCGUAUCGAGGAGUAACGCGUCCCGAUUUUCCGCGAGGCGGCCCGCUAAACGGAGCCUCUCGGCAAUUUGCCGGCACGCCGCACAACUCGCCGGCCCCGAGAGCGCAAUCGAUUACCGUGGUCGAAACUCGCGGCCGCCCGAUACCGGAUACAAUAACCCGGCCGCCGCGCAAUAGCAGCCGCGCGCGCUCCUUUAGGUGGCAGAAACCGGGUUCGUGUUCUCGGGACACGGCGGCUUAAAGCGGCACACAAGUCACGUACCGGCAUGGGACCACCGAGUAUUAUGGCGCGUCCUCUACCCUGAACCGUUUCCCCCUCCACUCGCGCGCUCGCUCUCUCGCUCUCUCGCUCGCUCUCUCUGUCCGUUCGCCUCGUUCCAGCGUGUACACCUUCUUCUGCCUUGCCUGGCUACCUCUCUUCGUCGACCUUCCCUCCCUCCGUCUUCGUCCCACCCGCAGUCGUAUACGUAUUACGCGCAGCGUAUAUAAUGUGGGUGCCGGUUGCACAGCGAGGCAGCCCGGUGUCACGCUACGUGCUUCCUGCCCGCAGGCCAUGGUGUGACAAAAGGCCUUAUGUCCGCCCGCUCGUGGAACACUCGUGAUCGCAAUGUGUAAUCAAGCUCGCAUGGCCACUGUAUUACCACGUACACCUCUACCGUGGCCCGCGGCCAUCCAAGCGCCUCUAUAUACAGGCGCGCACACGAGCCAUACGCAACCAGCCAGCCAGCCAACCAACCACGCACGCAUGCACGCCGCACGCACGCACGCACGCACGCACGCACGCACGCACGCGAGUAACGCGCCGCUUUUGGCUGGCCGUUUCCCGCGCAGGACGCGACCCGACCCUCCCCCUCCUUUCCACGAUCGGUUUCGCAAGCCGGACAGAGAGGCAGACAGGCGGAGAGGGAGAAGGAGAGAUAUCCCAGCGGCGCCCACUUUUCUGCUCGAUUCGUCGCGCCAUCGUGCCCCAACCACCGGACCCGUGCGCUCUUUCGGAACCGAUAGUCUCUCUCUCUCUCUCUCUCUCCCCCCCCCCCUCUCUCUCCCCGGGGAAUUUUUUUUGCCGCGUCUUUUUCUCGCUUUCCUUUUUUUCCACCUUCUCGCUUCGCUUUUUCUUUGCUUCCGUCGUGUUUGGUGCUUGGAUAAUUUUGGAUAGAGUUUAAGAUUGGACUCGGUUUGAUAAAGAUAAAUAUCGAAACGCGAUUCCAGACGAGUGGGAGACGACGCUUUCGAGGAUAAAUUUAAAGACUGGUAUUUAACGCCUGUUGCGUUAAUUUUGUCUGUUCCCAUUGUGUUUUUUUUAGAAUCAAAAAAAGAAAAAAUAUAUAUAUUCGAAACUUGUCGUCACGAAUUCUUAAAAUCUUCCAGCCUAUUUGUUAUUAUUGUAUCGUCACGCGAGGCUAAUUUUUUUACUCGUUCGCCUGGAUUUUCGGGGAGUCCCCCCCGUUUUUCGUUUUUCCACGGAACAAGGGUGCAAAAGCGGGCCGAAGCGGAAAGUUAAGGGCGGAAAAGGGCAAUCCUGCCGGGUCCCCGGUAUACGUUGCACUUUUGGCAGUUUCCGAGCCGUGUCGGGAUGCAGUCUGCCGCGAGUAACGUGUUUACCUAGACUAUUGAUCGAAGGGGGCGAGAGAUCCGUGUUCGGGCAGAGGUGUGCGGCUUCUGGAAAACUUCGAGGGUGGAGAGGGUCGAGAAUUUUUGUCGAGUUCCUCGUCGAGGGGUGAGGGGAAGAGGAGGGGGAGGAGGGGGAGGAGGAGGGAGGGGGGAUGGGAUAUUCGAGAGCCAGCGGGAUAGCCGAGCGUAUCCGUGCGUCAGGGAAACUUUCGAGACCUCGACUCGACAACUCGACGGGGACACUCGUUGCGCCGCGCUUUGAUAUUUUUCCUGCCUCGAUUGGAAUUUUUUUGCGCGACUCGAUUCUCCGCGUUUCUUCGCUUUUUUGUUCUCUCUCUCUCUCUCUCCCUCUCCUCGUGUUUCAUUUUACGGGAGAUUCUCGCGUCGAAAUUGAACGAUGCGGACGAAAUGUUUCUCGAGAUAAAUUGCGCGAUAUCGAUGAUCCUUUUAUUCGAGAUUUUUUUUUUUCUUUUUACGAUCCUGAUGAUUUUGUAACACAAUUGUAUCGAGCAAUCGUUAAUUCGUAUUUACAUGCACGUGUUGUUAAUGUUUAAAAAAAAAUAUUUAGAAAAGCGAGAUGUAUCUUUGUACUCGACACUCGUCACGAUUUAUACUUAGAUUCUGGAUAAAAUUUCCAGCGGUUUAAUCGCAAUUUUGCCUCUUUUCUCCUUUACAUGCUUUUUAACUCGAUCAUCCUAAUUUAAUUAGAUCCAAAUUUUAAUCUAUUUCGUAACGUGAAGUAAACAGGGAACGUAAAACCACGAUUAUCUUCCACGAUUUGACAACCAUUUUAAACACGUUGCGUUCGUAGCAACGUUUCGAUCCAACACGACGAGCAAAAAUGGAAGAAAAAAAAAGAAAAAAAUAAAAUAAUCAG